rnacentral:rRNA from 1 species
GACAGAGGGGGCAAGCGUUGCUCGGAAUUACUGGGCGUAAAGGGCGCGUAGGCGGGAUGGCAAGUCGGUCGUGAAAUCCCUCGGCUCAACCGAGGAACGUCGAUCGAUACUGCUGUUCUUGAGGAUUGCAGAGGAGACUGGAAUUCCCGGUGUAGCGGUGAAAUGUGUAGAGAUCGGGAGGAACACCCGUGGCGAAGGCGGCCAGCUGGGGUGCACCUGACACUGAGGCGCGAAGGCGUGGGGAGCGAACGGG